rnacentral:rRNA from 1 species
AACGAACGCUGGCGGCAUGCCUAACACAUGCAAGUCGAACGAGAUCUUCGGGUCUAGUGGCGCACGGGUGCGUAACGCGUGGGAAUCUGCCCUUUGGUUCGGAAUAACAGUUGGAAACGACUGCUAAUACCGGAUGAUGACGAAAGUCCAAAGAUUUAUCGCCAGAGGAUGAGCCCGCGUAGGAUUAGCUAGUUGGUGUGGUAAAGGCGCACCAAGGCGACGAUCCUUAGCUGGUCUGAGAGGAUGAUCUGCUACACUGGGACUGAGACACGGCCCAGACUCCUACGGGAGGCAGCAGUGGGGAAUAUUGAACAAUGGUCGAAAGCCUGAUCCAGCAAUGCCGCGUGAGUGAUGAAGGCCUUAGGGUUGUAAAGCUCUUUUACCCGGGAUGAUAAUGACAGUACCGGGAGAAUAAGCUCCGGCUAACUCCGUGCCAGCAGCCGCCGUAA